UACGGCUAAAUCACGCUGAAACACUGGCUCUCGUACGGUCAGCGAAGUUAAGCAACGUCGUGCCUGUUCAGUACUUAGAUGGGUGACCGCUUGGGAAUACCAGGUGCUGUAA
rnacentral:rRNA from 1 species